AGUGAACGCUGGCGGUAGGCCUAACACAUGCAAGUCGAACGGAAGCACAGUAAGAGCUUGCUCUUACGGGUGGCGAGUGGCGGACGGGUGAGGAAUACAUCGGAAUCUACUUUUUCGUGGGGGAUAACGUAGGGAAACUUACGCUAAUACCGAAUACGACCUACGGGUGAAAGCAGGAGAUCUUCGCACCUUGCGCGACUGAAUGAGCCGAUGUCGGAUUAGCUAGUUGGCGGGGUAAAGGCCCACCAAGGCGACGAUCCGUAGCUGGUCUGAGAGGAUGAUCAGCCACACUGGAACUGAGACACGGUCCAGACUCCUACGGGAGGCAGCAGUGGGGAAUAUUGGGCAAUGGGCGCAAGCCUGAUCCAGCCAUACCGCGUGAGUGAAGAAGGCCUUCGGGUUGUAAAGCCCUUUUGUUGGGAAAGAAAAGCAGCAUGUUUAUACCCCGCUGUUCUGACGGUACCCAAAGAAUAAGCACCGGCUAACUUCGUG
rnacentral:rRNA from 1 species